rnacentral:lncRNA from 1 species
AGGUUCGUCGAACCCCUGCUCCAAGACCUCAAAUGUGUGCGUCAGAUAAGAGAGACUCAAAACGUGCAGUGUUGGGGGUUCUCCAGGACCAAGAUUGGGAACCACUGCAUUAGGUGAUGAAGUCUAGUAGGUUAGACUAGUGUGCGUGCGCAUUUAGAAUGCAUUCACUGCAUGAAUCAGUCUAUUAAAAUUAUUUAAGGAUGAGCACAUAAUUUAAGAUAUGAGGCAGAAAAUGUAUAUAUUUAUAUCAUUUCAUAUAGUUUAUAUCACGCGAAGAGUGACAUUUUUUUCCCUUCAAAAGUAAGUAUGAUUACAACUGUGAUAUUGAUUUUAUACAACAGUUCAUUAAACAAGUAGCAUAGUUAAUAAUAAGAGACUUACGGUUUAGGCACCAUAUUUCCUUUUUUGCUCUGUUUCUCCAACAAAAAAUCAUUUCAAACAGCCACAGUGCUGUUUUUCCGCUCUGAGUAACAGGACAAUUUUGUUCCUGAAUGAAUCACCCGUUUAAAUGAUUCGGUUCAAACGCAAUGACUCGCUUAUUAACAGUGACUUGCUGCCGCCUACUUGCGUUUUAAUUUCACAUUUAAUGUACCUUUUCAUUUUUAAAAUAAUUUCAAACAUCAGUUUUCAAUGUUUUAUGUUUAAAAUAUGAAAACCUUAUUUAUGCAUUUGUAAAUGCAUGUUAAAGUAUAUAAUGUCCCUCAGAACUGCAUUAAACAGUGUAUAAAUGCAUCUAAAUUAUGCUUCUAAUGCAGCUUCUGUGUUAUCUCUGCAUUGCAAAGAUACAUUUUGUUGAUACUGAUUUAAUUUUCUUGGUAACAAUCUGAAUACAAGAAUAUGACUCAAAAGAUGGUGCACACUUUUAGAAAAAAUGGCUUAAAGGUAAAAAUGCCCAUUACUGCUGUGAACUAACCACACAGAAUAUGAAGAAUAUCAAAAAAUUCAGGAGUAAGCUGUCCACUGUAGUCCUAAAGAUACCAGCACAAUAACACACUCAGCAAAAUAUUGUCUAAUUAUCGUUAUAAAUAAAAUACCAGAAUAUAUACAUACAUACAU